AUAUAAACAAACAAACAAACAAAAAACUGCAAGACUUUUGAGUCAGGCUGGUGGUAUUCUAACUGGUUUGGCAAGGUCUCCUCUAUGUGUCUUAACAACUAUCAGAAAUAACGCAUAACCACAAGAGUGCCUCCUGGAAUGCCUUGAUUUCAUGCAUCGUAAUAAAAUGAAUCACAUACGCUUAAGGAAAGGAUUUAAAAAAUGUAAAGCAAGCAGUACAAGCCCAAAUGACGCUGCUACCAUUGAGCAGUGCUGAAUACGCAAUUACAUGCUGAACAAUAGGUAUUAACAAAUCAGGCCGAAUGCUCGUGAGAAAACGGUCCUCUAAUUAAAUAAAAGGAGAAUCCGAGUUUCUUGUUGCAGGGAUUGUUGGUGGGAUUAAAGGAUUGUUCUGGAGCCCAGUGCACAGAAUGAGAGACCUGGCGGCCUGCCUCAGAGCUCUGCAGCUCCCACCUGCUGAGACGCCCCAAGCCCUGAGACCAACUUGGUUUCACUAAGUGGGAGGAUUAAGACAGAUCUUGACCAUCGCUCCCCCUUUGGUCAGCAAAGAAAAAGAAAAAGAAAAUGAGGAAAACAGCUCAUUUUUCACUUGUCAUUUCACAGAAUGAGUGUAAGACCCAGGUCUCAUGCCCAGUGUUUGCCUCUUCUUGGUGACAUCCCCAGAAAGGAGGAGCCUGACUUCCUUGAAGACCGCUGCUCAAAACCUCUCAAAACAUUUUAUUUCAUGUUUACAUUUUCUGGGAUAUCAAUACUAUAUUCAGAAUACACUUAUUUCCUCUACCUUUAACUCUUUCACUUUAUAAUUCACCCCCAGGCAAUUCAUUUCAAGUUUGCUCUAUUCUAUGUAGGAGCUCUUUAUACUGAAAACAGUUACUCUGUCUCAUAAAAUCUCUCUUCUUCAGGUUGAAGCCAUUCAACUUUUUCAGCCAUUCUUCCCGAGGCACUAUUUUAAGUCUUUCCACUAUUUUGGUAAUCUUCACUGAACAUUUUCCUGAUUGCCUGAAUCUUUUAGGACCUAGAACCAUAAAUGGAAUAAAUAUUAUAGAAAGGACCUGAUUAAUAUACAGUAAAAUUCAAUGAUCAAUUUCCACAUACAGGAUACUAAAUCUUUAUUAAUGUAGUCUAACCCUACAUUUGUUUUUCAGGCCUUCAUGCUGCUGUUACCUGUUAUACCCAGUCGCACAGGAAUUAAUUGCUUGUACUGUUUUAAAUUUGUACAUUAUUUAAAUUUUGCUUCAGACUAGCUCUGUUUUAUAUUUUGAGUCAUAUUUUUCCUCUGUUCUGCUUUCAUCAUCCGUUUUUAUUUUAUUUUACUUUGUUUUGUUUUAUUUUAUUUUGUUAUGGUAUUUUAUUUUAGUGUACUUAUUUUGCAAGCUCCCUCAAAGACUUUUGGAAAUGAAAUGGAGUAUAAACAAGUAAUACAUGAAACACUGUAGCCAAUCAUUCUUAUUUCUCAAAGUUACAGAGAGCAAUGUUAUUUUCUUCAAGCCGGCCUGGAUUAAAGGUUCACAUUUCAGUAUUCCUGUGGCAGCCUAUCAAUUCAUAUUUAUUUACAGAAAUGAGUCCCAUGGAGAUGUUUGCUAGUGAACAUGUUGUUUUUCUAACUUUCUGUGUGUGUAUAUACACUCAUAUGUGUGUUUAUAAAUAUAUAGAGGUCUAUACAUAUUAAAUGAACAUGCAUUCCUUGCAACGUUAUCUAAUCCAGAAUUCUCAAGGUUUUCAGCUGUCAGUUUCAUUGCUUUAGAAUAGAGUUUAUUGCCAUCUGCUCCUGUCCCAUUCUUCAACUCUGUAAUUAUGUUUUCAUGAGUUAAUUUUAUCCGAAAGCUCAAGAGCUCCAUUUUGCCUUAUAUCAAAUCAUCUGGUAAAUAACCAGGUCAAGCCCAGCACCAAGAACACUGGUAAAUUCUCUUCUGGAAUUUAGAUGGUGUCGGGCAGAGUCUGACCAGUCUAUAUCACUCCACUAGGAGUGAUAUAGAAUAAACUGUCUUUUUACAGAAAUUUAACCAUUCACAGUUAUGGGAGGAGGUUAAGAGGUUUAUGGGCAGCUGUUGUUUCUAACACUGCGGCUGGAGUCUGAAGCCAGCGAGGCGGGCAGUCAAGAAGGAAAGACAGACGUGAAGCAGGACAGGGGGAAAAAAAGACAAACAAAUGCAAGAGGAUGAGUUGGAAUCCCCAACGACAAACUGAAGGGCGCAGCAGCCUGUGUCUCGAGCCUCCAGCUUCAAUGAUGUGAACAACCCACCGGAGAAACCUGCGCUUCCUCGCGGUGCUAAGCACGCAUUGGCUUGGGAGCUGGGAAGCUAAAAGGGGCUGUGUUUGGGGACCUGAAGGGCCCAUGUGCCUGGCUUCUGCCCAAACCCACUUGUGUAUGUGCUGACCUUCAGAGCUUUAAAAGAAUAUGGUUUAUGCUUAAUUUCCAAAUGCCACUAUAUGUAUUUCUUGUGGCCCAUGCUAACAUGGAAUUAUGCAAUGGAAACAAUCCUGAUAAACACAGUUCCUGCUCAGUUCAAUGGACUCAGCAUCAAUGUGCCACAUAGAUUAUCCACCCAAGCCCAUUUCUCCCUAGAGACAGUCUGAAUUAAGAGUCUUAGAGUUUUGUCUUAUUUAUUUAUUUUUUCCCCAUCCUAAAUCCUUGUCAGGUGCUUGUGGCCCAAUUCCCAGCUGUGUCUUGGGGAGGACAGGCAUGGUGGCUUCUUCCUGAGCACCGCAGUCCCAAGUUCAGAAAGAGAUCAUGUUGUGGAGGAUGGGAGAAAGCCCUGGCGGGAUCACAGCCUUUCCCAGAUUGGGUUGUUUCUGCCCCCCUUGUGGUUGGGGCUGCCGCCUGUUUCUCAUGGCAGUUCCCAAGUAAACAGCCCUUACUUCCUGGCUUUCUCUACUCAGGGUGGCAGGGGGAUGUGUCCACCUCUGCAGCAGCCUUCCUGUGUUGACAACACUGUUUGUUCUUCCCGUCUCCCCAGGGAGAAGCUGCCUUAUCUUUUCUGUGCAACAUAUUUGGGAAAAACACAUUUUUCUCUCUUAAAGGAAUUGAUUAUUGUUUCUUAAGACUAAAAAGAAAAGCCUUUCUGGAUCCAAACACUGACUUAAAAAGAUAACCUAAAUUCCACUUACAGAGCAAGAGAAAAAUUUGUACUAGUGGUGACUGGUGGUACAUUUUGGAUCAUUCUGUGCACUUAAAAUAUACUGUGUGUGUGUGUGUGUGUGUGUGUGUGUGUGUGUGUGUGUGAGAGAGAGAGAGAGAGAGAGAGAGAGAGAGAGAGAGGGAAAAUUUGAAAUAUUUUUCAAACACCAGACCUACAGUUUUUGGUUUAAAUAAACUGGGAAUUUGUAGGUGUUCGUUGAGGUGUUUGUAACGAUAACCUUUGUGAGACAGAAGUUUAAAAUAUAUAUUUAAUAUAAACAUAUGUUAAAAUAUGUACAUUUGCAAUUACAAGAAAAUUCAUCACUACCUUUGUGUUUCAACUGUUUUUUUUUUUUCAGGUGGAUUCCCAUCUUUCAUUUAUUUCAGAGAGCUACAGGAAUUUCCUCUCUGCAAUAGGAUUCUAUGUGCAGGACUAUUGUAGCAUGGGAGUCACGUGGAGCUGUGAUGAUGGCACCAAGAAAAACCUGGAGUUAAAAAAACUUACCUGGAUCUAUUGAACUACACUGCCACCUGCUAGGCUGUGACAUUGGGAAAAAUACUCAACCUCUCUGGUGUCGAUUUCAUCAUGAUAAACUGGGAAUAAUGGUCAAUCUAAUGUCAUGAAGUUGUUGGGAGAAUUCACUGAUUCGAAUUAUAUAGGGCAAUUAGCUACUGUAACACCUGCCCCAUUGGAACUGCUUAGUACGGGACAAGAAUUACUGUUACUACUUUCAAGAGACCAAAUGAAUAUUUUCUUCCUUAAUAAAAUGGUAACCUCUAAGCUAUCCAGAGGUUUUAGUCAGGGAAGAGAUAUGUGUUAUGUCAUUUGUAAUUUUUUAUCACAAUAUCAUUACCUGUCUAUUUAAGUAUUCAGCAUAUAAUAUGUAUAUGUAUAUAUAUAUGUAUAUGUAUAUGUAUAUGUAUAUGUAUAUGUAUAUGUAUACUUAUGUGCACCUGUAUAUGUAUGUGUGUGUACUGUUAUGGCUGCAAUGCUUGUACCCCCCAACCCCAAAUUCAAUUCUUUGAGGAAAUCCUAACCCCAAAGAUGAUGAUAUUUGUAGGCAAAACCUGUUGGGUGAUUAGGUCAUGAGUGGGGAACCCUCACAAAUGGGAUUAGUGCUAAAGAGACCCCACAGAGUUCCCUAGCCUCUUGAAUCUUCCAGGAUACUACAAGAAGUCUACAACACAGAAGCUGGCUUUUUGACCUCCGACUUCCAGCCUCCAAAACUGUGAGCAAUACAGUUGUUGUUUAUAAACUGCCCUGUCUGUGGUAUUGUUAUAUACAUCGCAUGUUUCUAUAGCAGCCUGAAUGGACUCACAUAUAUGCAUAUGUGGAUAGGUACUUAGGUAGGUAGGUAGCUAGCUAGUCAGACAGGUAGAUAGAUAUCCACGUAACUAACACUCCGAUCAAGAUAUGGAAUAUUGCCAUCACCCCAAAAUGUCCCUGUCUAUUUCUUUCCAGUCUGUCAUCCUCUCCUCUGGAGUCAAACCCUAUUCUGACUUUUAUCCCUGUGAACCAGUUUGUCUGUUCUUUAACUUCCACAUAGAUGGACUCAUACAGAAAACACUUUUUGCUUUUGGCUUUUUUAGUUCUAUGUAGUGUUUUUGAGAUUCGUCCAUGUUGUUGCGGGCAUUAGUCAUCUGGUUUUUUUCAUUCCUGGACUAUUCCAUUGUGUGAAUAUAACACGUUGUCUCUUGUUCAUGGGCAUUUGUGUUAUUUCCAGUGUUGUUUGUAAUUUGAAGUGCUUCAGUUGAGAUGGCAUGGUAUAUAUACUUUUGCAUUAGAUGACUUUAUUCUACAUCUUAGGAUAUGUCACAUUUUGUAGGCAUUUCCAAGCUUAAAUGAAUAGGGUAUAAGAAUACAUUAAACCUAGAUUGUAUGCUUCAGAAUGGAACUUUAGAUUCUAAAGGAAAGAUAGAUGAUAGAUAGAUAGAUAGAUAGAUAGAUAGACAGAGGUGUAGAUAGAUUCCAAAAUAGCCCAUUUACAGUUGUAGAUUCCUAGGUUUUUUGUUUGCCUGACUCCUGCCAGUGAAAUAUUGUUGCAUUUAUCCUUAGGGGAUCUUGCUGUCAGAGCACUUAGGACAGCCGGCUGACACUUUUUGAGUUUACUCAUUAGUUUAUAAACUGUUACACCUGUUUGAUAAGAAAUGCUUAUAUGUGUGAAAGAA